rnacentral:rRNA from 1 species
CAGACCAUCCCAGCCCGUGUUUACUGUACCUCUAGUUGCUUCGGCGGGCCCGCCAUUCAUGGCCGCCGGGGGCUCUCAGCCCCGGGCCCGCGCCCGCCGGAGACACCACGAACUCUGUCUGAUCUAGUGAAGUCUGAGUUGAUUGUAUCGCAAUCAGUUAAAACUUUCAACAAUGGAUCUCUUGGUUCCGGCAUCGAUGAAGAACGCAGCGAAAUGCGAUAACUAGUGUGAAUUGCAGAAUUCCGUGAAUCAUCGAGUCUUUGAACGCACAUUGCGCCCCCUGGUAUUCCGGGGGGCAUGCCUGUCCGAGCGUCAUUGCUGCCCAUCAAGCACGGCUUGUGUGUUGGGUCGUCGUCCCCUCUCCGGGGGGGACGGGCCCCAAAGGCAGCGGCGGCACCGCGUCCGAUCCUCGAGCGUAUGGGGCUUUGUCACCCGCUCUGUAGGCCCGGCCGGCGCUUGCCGAACGCAAAUCAAUCUUUUUCCAGGUUGACCUCGGAUCAGGUAGGGAUACCCGCUGAACUUAAGCAUAUCAAUAGCA